rnacentral:rRNA from 1 species
CCUACGGGAGACAGCAGUGAGGAAUAUUGGUCAAUGGGCGAGAGCCUGAACCAGCCAAGUCGCGUGCAGGAUGACGGCCCUACGGGUUGUAAACUUCUUUUGUCAGGGAGCAAUUGGGUCCACGCGUGGGCUUAGCGAGAGUACCUGAAGAAAAAGCAUCGGCUAACUCCGUGCCAGCAGCCGCGGUAAUACGGAGGAUGCGAGCGUUAUCCGGAGUUAUUGGGUUUAAAGGGUGCGUAGGCGGAAUAUAAAGUCAGCGGUAAAAAUUCGGGGCUCAACCCCGACGUGCCGUUGAAACUGAUGUUCUAGAGUGGGCGAGAAGUAUGCGGAAUGCGUGGUGUAGCGGUGAAAUGCAUAGAGAUCACGCAGAACUCCGAUUGCGAAGGCAGCAUACCGGCGCCCAACUGACGCUGAAGCACGAAAGCGUGGGUAUCGAACAGGAUUAGAUACCCGAGUAGUC